AUGAAAUGAUAUCACUAGCUAGGGUAAAUUGUAAUAUUUUACGAUUUCUCUGUUUUUACUGUAUUUUAAAUCAAAUAAAUGCUGCCUUAAAACCCAACAUUUUUGAACGGUAAUGGAUGCUUUUACUGGCAUUUGGAUUUUGACCAAUCAGAUGUGUCAAAACCAUGGUGCAUCUGCAUAGUCAUGGUUAUACAUUUUUAUAGUAUGAACGCUGCGACAACUUUAAAAAAAGAGCUGGCUGAGUGCUAGUUUUAGGACAUGCGUGUUUGAUGAGAUCAGAUGUGUCAGAUGUGUAAUCUGGUUGGUCUGUUCCUGUUGCAGAUGCAGACGGAGCUGGAGAAGCACAUAUCGAAGGAGCUGGACUAUGUGACAGGAGAGCUGGAAGGAGGAAGUGCCCGCAUGUCUCCCGUAGGAUCGGCCUCUGGCUCUCAGAAUCUGAACGUGAGUCUGGAGCCGCCGGACCCCGUGAGCAGAGCCACUCAACAGUACCUGGAGGUGCUGAAGAAGAACUACAUGAUCUGAGCCGCGGUCAGUCCACACACUGUGAGCACAAUCAACUCCAGCGCCUUAUCGCUGACCCACAAACCCACUCAACCACCCUAAAAACACUAGUUUGUUUAUUAAAGCUGGCGUUUUAAAAGCAGUUAUGCUGCCUCCUUAUGGUCACUGAAGAAAUAGUUCACCCAAAAAUGAAAAUUUGCUGGCCAACUAAAAAUGAGUUUGUUUCUUAAUGGGAACAGAUUUGGAGAAAUGUAGCAUUCCAUCACUUGUUCACCAAUUGAUCCUUUGCAGUGAAUGGGUGCUGUCAGAAUGAGAGUCCAAACAGCUGAUAAAAACAUCACAAUAAUCCACAAGUAAUCCACGCCACUCCAGUCCAGCAGGUAAUGUCUUGUGGAUUAUUGUGAUGUUUUUUAUUGUGACUGCAGAGCAUCCAUUGGUUGAGCAAGUGAUGGAAUGCUAAAUACAUCUUUGAUGACUUAAAGUUGAGCACAUUUUCAGCAAAUUUUCAUUUUGGAUGAACUAUUCCUUUCAAGUCUGAAAAUGUUCUUCAGAGUUUGUUUAACGAAAGGCUCAUUAUCGAAGUAGAAUAUAUUUAUACUUGUAAAAUCCCGGGCACCGGACUGAUUCCUGCUGGUCAGGAGCCAACGUCGCCAUUUUUUCUGAGUCAAAAUGAGUGAAAAACUCUGAAACGAGGCUGCCUGUCUGGACUUGUGUAUUAGUCCAGACCACCAAAAGGGCCAAAGUUUCAACACUACAAUCAGUUUGUGAUCUUUAAUCGAGUGUGACAAUGCACUUUUGUGCCUCAGGAGCAAGUGAACUGUGUGUUUAAGUCAUUCUGUCAUUGUUGAAGCCAUACAAGCGUCACUGAGGUUUUAUGGUACGUGUGAAAUGCAGCUUUCAGUGUUGCAUUCCCAAAGUCUUUUGUUUUUAUCAUAUGUGGGGUUUUAGUUGACUAUGUAUAUAUUUUGGCUGUUUUUGUAGUCGAGGCAUAUUAUAAAGAGUGUUACAUUUGUACCGUUAAUAUUAUUGCCAAGUAAUGACAAUGGUACAUUCUGUUAUCGUGCAAUAUAUACACAACUUAUUUUAAUUUCAAAUGACCAAACACUCAUUUGGAGAUGUUUUUUGGGAAAUUAAUGCUAUACUUUGAAUGAGACAAAACUAGACAAUGAUCUGGUGAUUUUCUAGAGUAUGUGACAGUGUCACCGCUUCGCUGUGCUCAGGCUGAAUCUUUUCGUGUGUAUGAUUGAAUCUCACCAGGUCAUAUUUUAGAUAUUGCAUAAAUUAUAUUUUGCAUAAUGUUAUUAAAAAAAAUCUUUUUUUGCAUGAUAUUUUCUUAACAGUUAAGCACAUUUUACCCCCCAAAUUCACAUUACUGUAAUUAAAAAUGAUUAAAGUAUAUAUAUACACACACACACACACAAAUCAAAACAAACACUACAAUGCAUAUACAAUUUUAAUAUAUAUACAUGUUUAUAAAAAAUAUAUAUAUAAACAAAUAUAUAAAUAACAUUAAAUUUGCUUUAUUAUUAAUUGUACAAAACAUGUUAAAGCUUAAUUUGCAAAAUGCCAAUAAAACACUGUUUUUUGCAUUGUGAUAUUUUCUUUAAACAGACAAUUAAACUGAUUUUACCACCAAAUUCUUUUUCUAAUUAAAAUUUUUUUUUUUAAAUACAAAUUAAAUUCAAUAGAACAGACACUACCAUGUAACAUGCUAUAUAUCUCUCUCUAUAUAUAUAUCGCUCUCUGUAUAUACAGUGGUGUGAAAAAGUGUUGGCCCCCUUCCUGAAUUCUUAUUUUUUUUGCACGUUUGUCACACUUUAAUGUUUCAGAUCAUCAAACAAAUUUAAAUAUUAGUCAAAGAUAACACAAGUAAACACAACAUGCAGUUUUUAAAUGAAGGUUUUUAUUAUUAAGGGAAAACAAAAUCCAAAACUACAUGGCCCUGUGUGAAGAAGUGUUUGCCCCCCUGUUAAAACUGUGGUUUAUCACACCUGAGUUCAAUUUCUCUAGCCACACCCAGGCCUGAUUACUGCCACACCUGUUCUCAAUCAAGAAAUCUCUUAAAUAAGACCUGCCUGACAAAGUGAAGUAGACCAAAAG
rnacentral:lncRNA from 1 species